rnacentral:rRNA from 1 species
CGCUGGCGGCGUGCCUAAUACAUGCAAGUCGAACGGUCUUUCUAUGGAAGCUUGCUUCCACUGAGAAGAUAGUGGCGAACGGGUGAGUAACAACGUGGGUAACCUGCCCAUAAGAGGGGGAUAACAUCCGGAAACGGGUGCUAAUACCGCAUAGUUUUCUUGAUUGCAUGAUUGAGAAAGGAAAGACGGCCUUUGUGCUGUCGCUUAUGGAUGGACCCGCGGCGUAUUAGUUAGUUGGUGAGGUAACGGCUCACCAAGACGAUGAUACGUAGCCGACCUGAGAGGUGAUCGGCCACAUUGGGACUGAGACACGGCCCAAACUCCUACGGGAGGCAGCAGUAGGGAAUCUUCCGCAAUGGACGAAAGUCUGACGGAGCAACGCCGCGUGAGUGAAAGAAGGUUUUCGGAUCGUAAAACUCUGUUGUCAGAGAAGAACAAGUUGGAGAGUAACUGCUCCAGCCUUGACGGUAUCUGACCAGAAAGCCACGGCUAACUACGUGCCAGCCGCCGC